GGAGUCCUGUUAAAUGUCUGCUCAGAGAAAGGACGGCUACGGGCUGUUUCUCUCUGUGUCCCGCCUGCCUUUGCUGCUCGGAAGCCAGGUUUUGUGCCACAUGAAAGAUGUGGAAGAAAAAUUAGUAAAACCUAGGAAAGUUAGAAAUGGAUUGCAAUACCAUCUGGAUACCGUCUUGUCCACAAACGAAGCAGGGCUAUUGGAAGAUGAAAGCCUUGCCUGAAGAUAAUCUGCUGCUUUUCAUUAUAUUCUGGAAAUUGAUGGGGCUAGAUAGAAGAAGUAACAUUUCCAUUUCAAGAAAGCCUAGUUCAGGAUUACAUGGUUGUUCCAAAAUGGGCAGACAACCACCAGGCCCUCUAACCUUAUUGUGUAUCUUUCCAUUUUACAUGGUAUUUGAAUCCCUCACCGCUGAAAUCAGAAGUAUCUCCACUUUCAGUUUUUUUUCUAAAAACUUUAAAUUACUACCUAAGCUUCUGCUGUGGUAAAGGAUUUCUCGUGGUAUGUGAUCACUUAAAGGCAGAGAAAACAGAAACAUCAGAAAAACUAAACUAUGUGGCUGUGUAUUUGCAUGGGAAUAAGAAGACCCACUGAAUAAAAUGGGAGUUUUAUCUGAAUAUGCAUGCACAGGUGUGGGUGACAUGAUAUAAAUAAAGCUUUCUAUGAGUUAUCUCCA